rnacentral:rRNA from 1 species
UACAGAGGUCUCAAGCGUUGUUCGGAUUCAUUGGGCGUAAAGGGUGCGUAGGUGGCGGGGUAAGUCUGGUGUGAAAUCUCGGGGCUCAACCCCGAAACUGCACUGGAUACUGCCUUGCUCGAGUACUGGAGAGGGGAUUGGAAUUUACGGUGUAGCAGUGAAAUGCGUAGAUAUCGUAAGGAAGACCAGUGGCGAAGGCGAAUCUCUGGACAGUUACUGACACUGAGGCACGAAGGCCAGGGGAGCAAACGGG